rnacentral:rRNA from 1 species
AGCGAACGCUGGCGGCAGGCUUAACACAUGCAAGUCGAGCGGGCACUUCGGUGUCAGCGGCAGACGGGUGAGUAACACGUGGGAACGUACCCUUCGGUUCGGAAUAACGCUGGGAAACUAGCGCUAAUACCGGAUACGCCCUUUUGGGGAAAGGUUUACUGCCGAAGGAUCGGCCCGCGUCUGAUUAGCUAGUUGGUGGGGUAAUGGCCUACCAAGGCGACGAUCAGUAGCUGGUCUGAGAGGAUGAUCAGCCACACUGGGACUGAGACACGGCCCAGACUCCUACGGGAGGCAGCAGUGGGGAAUAUUGGACAAUGGGCGCAAGCCUGAUCCAGCCAUGCCGCGUGAGUGAUGAAGGCCUUAGGGUUGUAAAGCUCUUUUGUCCGGGACGAUAAUGACGGUACCGGAAGAAUAAGCCCCGGAUAACUUCGUG